CUAAACAUGCUAAAUGAGAACAGAGUUUGAGUGUUUUGAAAAAGGCUAACUUAUUUAACAAUAACAUCAAAACUACUUAAAUCAGUUAAUUUGGGGGAAAAAACAUUUAAUUUUGUACUGGAAUUUGAACAGUAGCUCGCUGCUGGGGAUUACAGUAUGAUGAGUAUCUCUCCUUUCCGUCGAUACUCCCUUAGUGCUGCAAUAUACACAGUCGACUGGAAGAAGACCUCAGCAUACAUGAAGUCAUAGCUAGAAGCAGUGAAAGCCACAGCAGAGAUUGGAUGGAGCAUAAUUUUUUCUAUGUCUCGGCGCCUCUAUGGAUCUCAUAUUUAGAUCAGAUGCAAUCUGAGCCUUGUUCUGAAUUUCAAAAUCCCCUUUGACAACACCUGCACAGCUGAGCAAUCAAGGACCUUCUGACUAAUGGCUGAAUUAUAGUGAACACUGCCAUUCAGAGACUUUGAAACAGAUUGAUGAAUGAACCACAUGCAUUAUAUCAGAGGAAAUUAGCUGGAGCACCUACUUAGCAGCCAGGACACAUAGAUGUAUCUGUACAGUUGAUACAGAUAAUCUCAACAGCACAUUUCUAAAUGAUGGCCAAAAAAAUCUAAUAAAGACACUGUCAGUUUAAAACUAUUUGAAAGAAAUCCAGACAAGAAACAAAGGAUAUUGAUUUUUAAGCUCCUCCAAAUGUAAAAGGGGUUUUAUUGAAACCAAGACCAGGAUACACCCAAGGACAUUGAAUAUUACACCCCUUCAACAUAAAAUUUUGAAUUUUUGUUUGCCUAUCUAGUCAAGAACAUGGAUUUUUUGACAUUUGAUACACUUUAUAAUGUUAUAUUGACAUUUUUUCAAGAUUUCUUUACUGUAAACUAUAUAUUUCAGCAAAAAGUACAUUUACAGAUGACUUUUCAAAAAUUGCUUUAAAAAUACAAUUGAAAUAUUUAGAUCAUGUCUCAUAAAUGGUUAAUCACAGUUACCACAGAAACCAAAUAUUUGUUUAAAAUAAGUAAGGUACAAAAAAAAUGUUGUGUCUUUCAAUAUUUUAGCUAAUGGCCACUCGUACAGUUUUCUUCAUACAAGCUAAUCACAUUGGCUAAAUUGUAUAGGCAAAUACAAUAUUUUUGGAGAUGUUGUCAUGGUAACCAGAUACAAAUCACAAAAGCAUAUUUAAAAAAUAUAUAUUUUCAUGCAUUUACAAUAAACUGUGAAAAUAAUAGAUGUAUGUUAGUCAAUAAUUAUUUUGUAUUUUAUGGAGAUUUUGUAAAGACAAUUUAUUUAAAAAAGCAUUUCCAGAAGAAUUUGUUACCAUGGAUACAAAAAUUUAUGAGAAAUCCACUGGUUUUAUCUAAUAUUUGCAAGGUUCUAUCUUAUAUUAUCAUUUUUUUGGUAUUUUUUCCACAACAUACUCUGAAAAUGAUGUAUUUUGGUACUUUCUUGAAAAAUGAAUUUUUGUGAUAUUCUGUUGCCAUGGUUACAGAAUAUUUUUGACAAACCCAUAGGUUUUGUUUUGUUUU